UGUUUUUGGAGCAACAGAAAAGUAUAAAUAGAGCUAGUGUUGUCCGAUUGGCAAAAACUUCUUCCCUUUGUUACUUCUUCUUUAAAAUUCAAAUUUUUCUUUUGAUUUUUUUUCAAAAGGCUAACAUCAGUAGUGGUUAAUACUAUCUUUAGAUAAUAUUAAUUUCAUUAUACCAU
rnacentral:snRNA from 1 species